rnacentral:rRNA from 1 species
AACAACGGAGAGUUUGAUCCUGGCUCAGGAUGAACGCUAGCGGCAGGCUUAACACAUGCAAGUCGAGGGGCAGCGGGGAGGAAGCUUGCUUUCUCCGCCGGCGACCGGCGCACGGGUGAGUAACACGUAUGCAACCUGCCCCUGUCAGGGGGACAACCCGCCGAAAGGCGGGCUAAACCCGCGUACAUGCCACCGGGGCAUCCCGGAGGCAGGAAAGGCUUCGGCCGGACAGGGAUGGGCAUGCGGCGCAUUAGGCAGUAGGCGGGGUAACGGCCCACCUAACCGACGAUGCGUAGGGGUUCUGAGAGGAAGGUCCCCCACACUGGUACUGAGACACGGACCAGACUCCUACGGGAGGCAGCAGUGAGGAAUAUUGGUCAAUGGUCGGGAGACUGAACCAGCCAAGCCGCGUGAGGGAGGAAGGUACAGAGUAUCGUAAACCUCUUUUGUCAGGGAACAAAGGCGGGGACGUGUCCCCGGAUGAGUGUACCUGAAGAAAAAGCAUCGGCUAACUCCGUGCCAGCAGCCGCGGUAAUACGGAGGAUGCGAGCGUUAUCCGGAUUUAUUGGGUUUAAAGGGUGCGCAGGCGGUCUGUUAAGUCAGCGGUCAAAGCCCGGGGCUCAACCCCGGCCCGCCGUUGAAACUGGCAGUCUCGAGUUGGAGAGAAGUAUGCGGAAUGCGCGGUGUAGCGGUGAAAUGCAUAGAUAUCGCGCAGAACUCCGAUUGCGAAGGCAGCAUGCCGGCUCCACACUGACGCUGAGGCACGAAAGCGUGGGUAUCGAACAGGAUUAGAUACCCUGGUAGUCCACGCAGUAAACGAUGAAUGCUGGCUGUCCGGGGGGAUUGACCCCUGGGUGGCGAAGCGAAAGCGAUAAGCAUUCCACCUGGGGAGUACGCCGGCAACGGUGAAACUCAAAGGAAUUGACGGGGGCCCGCACAAGCGGAGGAACAUGUGGUUUAAUUCGAUGAUACGCGAGGAACCUUACCCGGGCUCAAACGGGGAGUGACUCAGGCAGAGACGCCUGUUUCCCACGGGACACUCCCCGAGGUGCUGCAUGGUUGUCGUCAGCUCGUGCCGUGAGGUGUCGGCUUAAGUGCCAUAACGAGCGCAACCCCCGCGUGCAGUUGCUAACAGUCAACGCUGAGGACUCUGCACGGACUGCCGGCGCAAGCCGCGAGGAAGGCGGGGAUGACGUCAAAUCAGCACGGCCCUUACGUCCGGGGCGACACACGUGUUACAAUGGGUGGUACAGCGGGAAGCCAGGCGGCGACGCCGAGCGGAACCCGAAAUCCACUCUCAGUUCGGAUCGGAGUCUGCAACCCGACUCCGUGAAGCUGGAUUCGCUAGUAAUCGCGCAUCAGCCAUGGCGCGGUGAAUACGUUCCCGGGCCUUGUACACACCGCCCGUCAAGCCAUGGGAGCCGAGGGCGCUUGAAGUGCGUCGCCGCGAGGCGCGCCCUAGAGCGAAAUCGGUGACUGGGGCUAAGUCGUAACAAGGUAGCCGUACCGGAAGGUGCGGCUGGAACACCUCCUUUCUGGA